GACGAACGCUGGCGGCGUGCUUAACACAUGCAAGUCGAACGGAAAGGCCCCCUUGUGGGGUACUCGCGUGGCGAACGGGUGAGUAACACGUGAGUAACCUACCCUUGACUUUGGGAUAACUUCAGGAAACUGGGGCUAAUACCGGAUAGGAGCUCCUGCUGCAUGGUGGGGGUUGGAAAGUUUCGGCGGUUGGGGAUGGACUCGCGGCUUAUCAGCUUGUUGGUGGGGUAGUGGCUCACCAAGGCUUUGACGGGUAGCCGGCCUGGGAGGGUGACCGGCCACAUUGGGACUGAGAUACGGCCCAGACUCCUACGGGAGGCAGCAGGGGGGAAUAUUGCACAAUGGGCGGGAGCCUGAUGCAGCAACGCCGCGUGCGGGAUGACGGCCUUCGGGUUGUAAACCGCUUUCGCCUGUGACGAAGCGUGAGUGACGGUAAUGGGUAAAGAAGCACCGGCUAACUACGUG
rnacentral:rRNA from 1 species